UACAGAGGUCUCAAGCGUUGUUCGGAUUCAUUGGGCGUAAAGGGUGCGUAGGCGGCGCGGUAAGUCGGGUGUGAAAUCUUGGAGCUUAACUACGAAACUGCAUUCGAUACUGCCGUGCUUGAGGACUGGAGAGGAGACUGGAAUUUACGGUGUAGCGGUGAAAUGCGUAGAUAUCGUAAGGAAGACCAGUGGCGAAGGCGGGUCUCUGGACAGUUCCUGACGCUGAGGCACGAAGGCCAGGGGAGCAAACGGG
rnacentral:rRNA from 1 species